rnacentral:lncRNA from 1 species
CCUAGUACAUUCAGCCUAGCAUCAUCAGUUAAAUGGAUCGCACCGUGGAACAGGAAAUAAGUCCAACUGAAUCACUAGUAGAUUCACCCUUAGCAUCCUGAGGAAAGCGGAUCACACCUUGGAAUGGGAGAUAAAUCAAGCUGAAUCCUUAGUACAUUCACCUUUAGCAUACUAGGGCAAUCAGAUCGCACCUUGGCUCGGGAAAUAAGACAAGCUGAAUUCCUAGUACAUUCACCCUAGCAUCGUGGGUUAAACUGAUCGCACCCCGGAACGGGAAAUAAGUCAAGUUGAAUCCCUAGUACAUUCACCCUUAGCAUCAAGGGGCAAGCGUAUCGCACCUUGCAACGAGUAAUAAUUGAGAUCCAGCCCUAGUACAUUCUCCCUUAGCAUGUUGAGGAAAAAGGAUCACAGUGUGGAAGGGAAAAUAAGUCAAGUUAAAUCCCUAGUACAUUCACUCUAGCAUCGUGGGUAAACGGAUCGCACACUGGAAUGGAAAAUAAGUGAAGCUAAAUCUCUAGUAGAUUCACUCGUAGCAUCCUAUGGCAAACAGAUCACACCUUGGAAUGGGAAAUAAGUCAAGUUGAAUCCCUUGUACAUUCUCCCUUAGCAUCCUGAGCCAAAUGAAUCGCACCGUGGAGGGGGAAAUAAGUCAAAUUGAAUCCCUAGUACAUUCACCCUAGCAUCGUGAGUUAAA